CCGAGGAGCCCCAGUCCCCAGUCUCCUGGCCCGGCCGCCGAGGAGCCGUAAUUCCGGAGGCCUCCGACCCCAAGAAUCUUGUCCCUGUCCCCGCCCCCCGCCGUCCCCAGGAGACAAAUCCAUUUGCCCUGGCCCAGCCUCCAAGGAGUCGUGUCCACAAGUCCGGGGGUCCGGCGUGGCAGGCGCCCAGCUCACUGGGGGGCGGUGGGGGGGGGGGGACGUCGCGAACCCCUUCCCACAGGGGCGCUGGCGCCUCUGCCUGGCGGCCGGGAAGUCCGGGGGCGGAGAGCAGGCAGGAGCGGAGCGGUCGGACCGGCCGGGCGGCCGCGGGCCCCGCCGUUGGUCCGCGGGAGCGCGCUCCUCCUCGCCCGCCCCACAUGCCCUGACUGCGCCUGCCGCCGCGCCCCGGGCGCCAGACUGCGCGGCCGCCAUGGGGAAUGGGAUGAACAAGAUCCUGCCUGGCCUGUAUAUUGGCAACUUCAAAGAUGCCAGAGAUGCAGAGCAGUUGAGCAAGAACAAGGUGACACACAUUCUGUCUGUGCACGACAGCGCCAGGCCGAUGCUGGAGGGGGUUAAAUACCUGUGCAUUCCAGCAGCGGAUUCACCAUCUCAAAACCUGACGCGACAUUUCAAAGAAAGUAUUAAAUUCAUCCAUGAGUGCCGCCUCCAGGGCGAGGGCUGCCUGGUUCACUGCCUGGCGGGCGUCUCCAGGAGCGUGACCCUGGUGGUCGCCUAUAUCAUGACGGUCACCGACUUUGGCUGGGAGGACGCCCUGCACACCGUGCGUGCAGGCAGGUCGUGUGCCAACCCCAACCUGGGCUUCCAGAGGCAGCUGCAGGAGUUUGAGGAGCUCCAGGUCCACCAGUUCCGCCAGUGGCUGAGAGAGGAGUACGGCGAGAGCCCGCUGCGGGACGCCGAGGAGGCCAGGAGCAUCCUGGCCGCCCCAGGCAUUCUGAAGUUCUGGCCCUUUCUCAGAAGACCAUAAUGCACCUGAAACAUGGCCAGAGUUUAGGUGCUGCUGGAAGAGAAGCAACCAGAGUUCAGCUUAAGUGUCCAGACGUGGUGUGUGCGCGUGCACUUGUGUUGCUCCCUGUUGGCAGCUAUGCGCCCUCUUUGACAAGAGGACGAUUUUGGCCUAAUUCCUUCUUUGCUGAAAGCUGUGCUGCCCCCAGGCUGUCUCGGGCCCGCCGGGUGCACCCUGCUCCUCGGGACUGUCUCUCGGGCUGUGUGGCCCCGUGCACCUCCCCAUCCUCAGCCCGGGUGUGGAGCCCACAUGCUCCUGCCACGGGCACCAUGAGGGGGGUUCGGGGGCUUCCCUGUAUUUUAAGGCCACUGCCCUCCUCCAGAAGGAGAUGUACUGACAACAGGAGAUGAGAACUCCCUUCCCUGAGACAGUGGGUGCCCAGUGAGCAGAGGGACAUCGGAGAGGGGGUGCACCAGGCUCCCCAGGGACUUCUCAUUCCAAGCUCGGCUUCAAUCCAAGAAUGUUAACUGGUGUGGACAGCAGUUUAAGACGGUUUCCCAGUGUUUUCUCAUCUAACUAGUUGGGGGUGGGGGGCGCGGGGGUUGGGUGAAGGGGGACGGAAAUGUGAUUUUUGCUUAAAGGAGAGGUUUGGCUAAAUGCAGGGAGUCAAGGGCUCGUUGGCUGAGGGAGGCUUGGCCCGUGCCCUGAGUGUCCAACGCCGGCACGCUCCUGCCACGGGCUCGGAGAGCACCCUGUGCUGGCGUGGGCCUGAUAGGUGUGGGGCGAUGGUGUUAAAACGCCAAUCUUGACUCAACAGGCCUGCCUGGGGGACACACAAGUAGUCCAUGUGUAGGUGCUGGGCCCCAAGGCCCGAGGGUCCACCUUUGGGUAAGUGCAGGGGCAGAGCCUUGGAAGACCCAGGCUGAGCACAGGGCAUAAGCAAACAGCAGCAGGAAGGCUCCUGUUGGGACCCCGCUGCUCAUGGCACCAACGGCAGCCACCCGGUGACUGGUGCUCUGCAGGUCACACACUGCCCUGUGAAGCUUGUAAACCACAGAGCAGAUAUUUCAUUCACACAAGGCUCAGAGAGGCCAAGGAACUCUCCAGAAACUACAGAUGUUAGUGCGCUUUGCCUGAGCCUGGUCUUCUGGUCCCGAGUCAGUGUCAGGGUGAGAGAGAGGAGGGAGUGGUGCCCUGACCCUUGGUCUCAGGGGCUUGUGAGGCUGGCCCAGGGCCCAGGGGAGCUGGCAGCGCCAUGAUCAUUCUGUCUGAGCACAGCUUCCUACCUGCUCCCCCAGCCUCUCGGGGGUGGUUUGGGGCAUGGUGGCUGGUAGGCAAUUCCUGUCCUCACCAAAAUCUCAUGGACAUUUCCAUUGGGAUGGUGUUGACCACACUUAAAUGUUAGAGGUAGAAGCCCUUCUCCGUUGAAGCCCAGACAGGUGUUUAGUUUACAUGGACUGGGGACGUGACCCACCUGCCUCGAGGUGGAGUGGGUCCUGGCCCUGGCAGCUUCCUCAGGCUCUUUUCUGUGAUGUCCUCCAAGCGCAGGUCUGUCCAGCCUGGUCUCAGAAUUGUGGCCGAUGGUGGAGGAGACCUGCCCUGCUUCUCUUUGUUCAGUCACUUGCUGGUUCGCUUGAGAAAUGCUUGUUCAUCUCAGUAGGCGCUCUGGGACCCAGGCAGGAUGCACAGACCCGCCCUGAGUCUCAGAAAUGCUAGUUGGUGGUGUUGACAGUUGGGAAAUCGGCCGUGAGCACUAGUGUGGGGGCUCGUGGUGCUACGUUUGGGAGGAAACAGGCCCUUCAGGUGCGGGGUGAGGGUCGUGUCCUGGGAGGGUGUCCCAGAGACAGAGGCAGAAGCCCAGGUGCGGGGGUUGCUGCAUGCGGGGAGGGGAGUCUGGCGGGGCCGGCACAUGUACAGGACAGAAGGCACAGCCACUGUGUAACCGGGGUGAGCGUGGCAUGCGCGGCGGUGAGGGGGGCAGACAGAGCUGCAGAUGCAGGCCCAGGCUGUCCGUCCGCUUGGUGCUGCCGUACAGCAACUGGUUGGCUCAACUAGCCCUGGAGCUGCUGGGCUGGUCCCAACGUGGAGCAUUGCAAGCAUGUGGAUGCCAUCCUGUGGACUCCAUCCUGCGGACGCGGCGGGGGUCUCGCCAGGCGUUCUGGGCAAGCAGUGAUGGGUGUCGGGGAGGGUGGACAGGCCACGGUGGGGGCCGCUCAGGGGGCUGCCAUCGUGGCUGUCCAGGUGAUCGUCAUAGCCUGGGGCGUGGCUGUGGGUGGAGAUGAACAGGCCCAAGGGAGCGAGGGGGCGUAAGGAGGCUGGGGGUGGGCAGCUGCUCCGGGGUUGGGCCCCCAAGGGCUUGCUCUCUGGGUCAGCCUCUUCCACAGUGGGCUCUACCGUGUUGAGGGCAGACUGAACGGGGCUGCCCCCGCUGGGACCCAGCUUUGCAGACAGGGUGCUCAAGUCUGUCCAUGAACCCGGAACUGACUCCCAGGAACUAGACUUGUGAUGAUUAACAUCCAAUUUAGAUAUCCAAUUUAUUAAUUUAUUGUGAAAGAGAAAACACUAGGUUAAUAGAGACUAAUUUUACCCCUAACCAGGCUGUCUUUCAUUACCGGAUUUCUGGGAGCCUUAACGGACACAAUGCUCUAAGUCAAAGAUAUCUCAAUGAAGCUGAGAAAGAGAGUGAAGCAUCUUGUGAACCGGCCCUGAGGCGUCACCCUGCCCUCCUGACUGGGCUGGGGCCUGGCGUGGGGCUGCUGGUCCUGCGGAUGCUGUUGCUGUAGCGCCCGGGAGCACCUGCGCAGCCUGCAGCCCCCGAGGCUCUGUCUGGCCCCCGGCAGCCACCCCGGUGUGUGCUCCUCUGCCCACACUGGUUCUCUGAGGGUGCCUUUGUUAACCUUUGUUAAUCAGGCUUCUCCCUGGCGAUGGUUCCUGCAGGGCUUUAUUAUUUAUGGCGUGCUGGGUCCCCAGGUCUGUCCCUGCAGGGACCCCCCACUCCAACUUGUGCUCCUGUGGCUGCUGCUUAGAGACAGACCGUGAAUCCCAGUGUCUGGGCACUGCUGUGUCUUGUUGUUAAAGUUUAGAGGACUCCUCAGCCUUCAGGGGAGUCACGUGUGCAAAGCCAAGGGGCGUGUCGAGCGCAGGUGGCUUGGGCAGCAAGGGAGAUCAGAGCUGUUGAUGACCUGACGCCCUGCACACCAGCAUCUAGUCUUGAAAACAGGGAAACACUAAGACACAAAAUCCUGUGAUCCCACGUUAGGUGACCCCUCCCAUGCUGACACUGAGUUAUUAAUAAUUUUAUCAAGAAUGUGCUUUCAACAUGCCUGUAUUUAUAGAUGUGCUUAACAAAAAAUCACCGAGACCUCGGAGGGAAGUUCCUCUUCCCUUUCCUUUUUAUUGCCCAGAGGAAGGGAGAAAAAAAACAGCAGUCUCUGACUUGUCCCUGAGGCUUGAGAACAUUCACUGUCCCUUCUGAGGAUAUACUGGGGUCUCCUUGGGCUGUCAGGGGCUUGAAUUCAGGGAUGCCGGCUGCAUUUCUGGGGUACGUUUGCCCUCUCGCUUCCUCCCAGCUGCAGUGACGGCCUGUGACAGCUUGGCCAGGAGCGGGGUUAGCAUUCUCUCCUGCCCCCGAGGCUCCCACCUCGACAGGGGCUGCAGGGCUGGGCUGGGCUCGCCGUCCUCGGCUGAACACCUGAAGGUAUGGGGUAUUUUGGCCCCAGGUGAGGUCGAUUACCAGGAGAUAGCCGUCUGCAGUUCCCUUUCCUGAAGCCUCUGGUUCAGUUUGAGAGGAUGUGAGGGGCGGCAUCAACUGGCAAGGGAGCCAGGUUGCCUGUGCGUGGGUGGAGCCUGACAGCGUCCUUCGUACCAGGCCUGUUUAGGAGACCCGGGCACGGCGGGGGGCUGAAUCUGGGGGAGCAGCCCCUCCCCGGGGUGGCAGAAUGGUUCUGGAGACGGUGCGGGUCACGCCAGGUGCGGUUGGUGAGCUGGACCCAGGCAGGCGCCCAGCUCAGGUACUCUGUGCACACAGCUCUGCGCUUCCCUCAGAGUCCACUCGCCCCCAGACGUGGCCAGGCUGGCACAAAGAGGAACCACGCUCCCUGGCGAGCGGGCCUGCUCUGUCCUCUGCCAGUCACUCUGGGUUUCCCCAGGGCACUGAUGGCAGCGUGUUUAGAACAUAAGAAUCAAGAGGCCUCCACGUGUGCCCCAGAGAAAUGCCACCUUCUGCUUUGCAAAGGGUGCGCCCUUCAUGGCAAGAGGCCGCAGGCACCCAGCUUCCUCAGAAGGGUGUCUAGAGAGGCCCCUCCUGUGGGACGUUCCAUUCCCCCGGUGUGUGUGCAGCACGCAGCGGCCUUGACAGGCCGGCAGGCAGGAAGGCUUGAGGCCAGCUCCAUCUUGGGGGCACAGGGGGCGUCCUGGCUCCCACAGCACAGCAUCCCCUCCUGCCACGUCCACCGCUGGGAGCUCGGAGCUGCGGGUCCAGAUGUGUAGUCAGGGUGGCGGUGGUACAGGGUAGGGAGAGUGCGGCAUGGGCUGGAAACCAAGCGGCCGGCGGGGUCCUGGAGUCUCUGGAACACCUGGGGAAGCCCCAAGGAGGCAGCUCCCUCCCGUGGAGAGCCUCUCCGUGGGGAGACUGGCGUGAAGGAAGCGCUCCUGGAGAGCUGGGGUGGGGCUGGCUGGCACCCUGCUGCCCUAGGGACCCCCUUGUGCAUCCCGCCUCCCGUCUGGAAGACAGCAUGGCCAGCCUGUGGAUGGUCAGCGGUCACUGAGCACUCUGUGUCUGAUGCUUUCCUAAAGUCACACCCUCUCAGCAGUCUCGUCACAUGGAUUUUACUAUUAUCCCCAGUUUUUGGAUGAAGAGGCCAGAUUCUAGGGAACUUGAGUGUUGCCCAGUCUCGGGUCAGAAAGUGGCCAUGUGAGCCUGGAGCCCUGCAGCCUGACCAGCCGCUCCAGGGUCGCCUCCCUUCUGAACACCAGCAUCCCUGGAGGCGCGGGCAUCCCUGCUGACACGCUCUUAGGAGGCCAUCUGGGGAGCAGGCAGCACCUGGUGAGACCUGGGGUGUCCAGAAGUACAGAGGGCUGCAUCCCGUCCUGACUCCCAAACCCAAAGUGCAGCCAUCUGGCGGGCAUCCUGCUUGCUGUGGGCCAGACUCUGUCCCCCCGGCCGGGCCCUCCACAGGGGAGGGCCAGAGACCCCGUGACAGGGCGGAGGACGUGCCCCCAGCUUCCAAGAAGUGUAAGUGUGGGCAGUUGGUGCUGAAAGUGGGUCCCAGAGAGAGGAGCCUGGUCACCUGCACGCUCUGCCCCAGCAGCGUGGUGUUGGGAACCGGCCUGUGACUCACCACUGUCCCUGAAGUGUCCGUGCCUCCUGGUGGGACCCCGACCUGUACUUUCCCGCGGCCCACCUGGAUGAAGGACCCCCUCCGAGGGAAGGCCAGCGGGGUCAGGAGUCAUCUGACGUCUGCUGGGAACCGUGGCCUGCCCCAUGAAGGUGGGGCAGGACCUCGGUCAGGCCCCGGUGCCCACCUGCACAGGGGCCUGGGACUGCCUGGGGGAGGGGAGGAGCGCGGCUUGGCAGCCCUGCCUUCUGAGGCUUUUCGGUUGAUCUGGGGACAGGAGGCAGUCACUCCAGAAUGUUCUGUGAACAAACACGCUUAGAAGCACAAGUGCAGGCCAAGAGGGCGCCCAGUGCAGGGUAUGCUGGCUGUGGAUGGAAGCCGAGGGAGGGGGCAGUGAAGAGCAUGCGGGGAGGGGAUGGGGGGACAGGGGUGCAAGCACGGCUGGGCAACCUGGAGGCAGACGUGUGGAGGCUGUGACUCGCGGGCAGGGUGGGCUGGAGGUGGGGACAAGAGCUGUUGUGGGGGUGGGACGCCCACAGCCCCUUCCCAAAGACCAAUCCACCAGGAAAGGUGGCGUGCGCAGGUAGGUUCCUGGCACCUUGACCUGGCGGUGGGCAGUGCUGGUUUGGCUUCCCCAGAGCAGAAAGUGUCAGGUGCCAGAGGUGACUGGCGGGGCAGCCCCUGCAGACAGAGGGCUGUUGGGCCGCAGAGGUUCGGGUGGGGGACGCCCAGGAGAGAGCGUGGGGCACCCUGGGGUCACCCGGUGCUGAGGUAUGACCCUAGGAGGAACUUCUGCACAAAGCGAGUCCCCGUCAGGGCUGCCGGGACUCCUCACCCAAACUCCAGGCUCCAGUCCUGGAGUUUCUGGGCCGUGUGGUCACUGGGUGCCCCUGGUGACCUGAGUGCCCGCCCCACACCCAGCACCGGGACUUGGGUCCAGGGUCCUUGUGCCCUGGCCGCAACCCUGCCACUCCCACUAGAGGGGGAGACACACCAGCUACAGAGCACUGAUGACAUGUGCCUCAUAGUAAACAACCGCAGUUCAUCUGUCUUUCGGUGCCACCGGGAGCCAGCAAUCCUAAACCAUGCAGGUGCUAAAGUACUCCUCCUCCCAAAUUUCUGUGGUUGAUCUAAGUCUCAGUAACCACUGUGUGUGCUGUAGUUUUAAUAAUAUAAUGGCAACCUCAGACAUGGUCGUUUUAAAUACAUACCCUUUAAUUAACAAUGUCUUCUGCAUGGACGUGAACAUGAACUUCCAACUAACAGCCAGCAUGCACAGAGAGAAUAUGCUGCCUUAGUCUUGUCCUUUUCUUUUUCAGUGAAUUCAGAAAAAGGCUUCCCUGGUGGAUUCUUGACGUUUGAGCCUCCAGUAGAGGAGUGUGGACUUGCUGUUAAUGGAAUUUGACAUCAAAUGGGAUUUCUAUGAAUUUCUCCCAAUCUUAUCCUUUUAACACUUUUCCUAUUUGUUACUUAACAUGAAAGAAAAAUUUCAAAAUUAAAGCACAAGUGGUCUGUGAUCAACGAUGAGUAAAGACAGGCUGAAAAUCUGACAUGAGAAAUUUAGCUUUGACACAAUCAUCUACACAUUUGCAAAAGUUAAGACUUUAAAACAAAUUGUGAUUACUCAUUAAUGUGACAGACCAACACAGAGAUAUAUAUAUGCAUUUUCCCAUUUUUCAAAAUAUAUUUUUAUUGCAAUUGAAAGUAUUAGUCCAUGACUUUUUCUAUCCUUUUUACUGUGACGUUUAUUUUAAUUUUGUCCCCAUUUACUUAUUGGUAUGAUGAUAAAUAUAAAAUUCAAUAAGAAGUUUUUUACAGCACAUGUUUCUCUUCUGUCCCGUAUUCUUUUUUGUUUCGUUUCGUGACCAUUACUGGCUAUCACGUGGAGACUCCUGGUCGUCUGUGCUGUGUUAGGGAUCCGAGGCCGAGACUGUCAGGGUUACUGCAGCCUGUGGUGGUGGGGGGAGGGGGCCAGUCCCAUUCUGAUCUGUCUUUUUCAUAUUUCCUAAUAACUGGGGUGUGGCCAACGUGCUUCCAUUUCACUCUCUGUAGAGGCUCCAGUGAAAAGACUGAACAGUCUCUGACGUCUCCCAUGUCUGU